CUGGCGGCGUGCCUAACACAUGCAAGUCGAACGGGGAUUUGUUUCGGCAGAAUCCUAGUGGCGAACGGGUGAGUAACGCGUAGGCAACCUGCCCUCCGGCCGGGGACAACACUCCGAAAGGGGUGCUAAUACCGGGUACGAAGUCUGUGCCGCAUGGUACGGAUUUGAAAGAUGGCCUCUAUUUAUAAGCUAUCGCCGGGGGAUGGGCCUGCGUCCGAUUAGCUGGUUGGUGGGGUAACGGCCUACCAGGGCGACGAUCGGUAGCCGGUCUGAGAGGAUGAACGGCCACAUUGGGACUGAGACACGGCCCAGACUCCUACGGGAGGCAGCAGUGGGGAAUCUUCCGCAAUGGGCGCAAGCCUGACGGAGCAACGCCGCGUGAGUGAGGAAGUUCUUCGGAACGUAAAGCUCUGUUGUUCCUGACGAACCUCCCUUCUAUCAACAACGGAGGGGACUGACGGUAGGGAACGAGGAAGCCACGGCUAACUACGUGCCAGCCGCAGC
rnacentral:rRNA from 1 species